UUUUAGUUUUUUGAUUGAUCUGUCCGUUUCCGAGGUGGGUAUGUUAAAAAUCUCACACUGGUGUCGAGAUUAUGUCAGAUUUUUUUUUCUUCCGAUUCUGUCCCCGUUUGCAAUAUAUCACUUGGAGUUCUAUUUUUCAGAUGCACCCAAGUAUCCUUCUGGACCACAACCGGGAUUGGAGUGAAGCGGUAGCCUCGGACAAAAUUUAAAUGCACGCCCAAAAAACUCCGUAAUUGAGAUAAAUAAUAUUUUCAGGCAAUAUUUUUGAAAACAAAAGUUUAUACCAAAAAAAUGAUGAAUAAAACACAGUUGACCCUUGGAAAACAUAGGCUUGAACCGUGUGGGUCCACCUAUACAGAGAUUUCUUUUUGAUACAGUGCUUUAAAUAUACUUUCCUUAGGGUAUUCUUAACAUUUUCUUUAGCUUACUUUUAAGAGUACAGUAUAUAAUACAUGUCACAUAUAAAAUAUGUAUCAGCUGUUUAUGGUACUGGUAAGGCUUCUGGUCAAGGGUAGGCUAUUAGUCAAGUUUGGGGAGAGUCAAAAGUUAUGUGGGGAUUUUCCUCUAGGGGAGGGUGAAGUAGGGCUCCUUACUCCUAGGGUGUUCAAUGGUCAGCCUUCCUACAAUUUAAAAAAAAACAAAAUUUGACCCUGCACUUGCAUGACAGGUCUAAAUGUACCUUCUUGGUGAACUGAUACUUUUUAUCCUUCUGUAAAAUUCCUUUAGUCCUACUGCAAGUUUUUGCCUAAAUUCUACUUUUCUACUAUUAAUAUUGUGACACUAACCUUUUGGCUGAAUUUACUUAUUCGCCUUAUUUUUUGUUUUCUUUUUAUCAUCCUCCACGCCCCCCCCUUCCUUCCUUGGAUUGAUAAGUUUUCUUUCUUUAUUUUGUUUUUUUACUGAAAAUUUAGCUUGGGUUAGGUCAAGGAAAAACUCCCUUGGG
rnacentral:lncRNA from 1 species